GCCCUCAUAAGGCUUGAAAUAUAUGGAUUUAUUAUCAUCUUCUUCCCAAAUGAUUAACAAAGUUUUAAGAUACUUUUCUUUUUAAGUGUGUAAAGAGAUUGGCAUUUGUAAGUUGUAACUCUCAUUCCCCCCUUUCUUUCUUUUAUUUUUGGGUUUGUUCUUGUAAGAGAGCUAUAUAUUAUAUAUUAUUAAUGGUUUCUAUAUGAAGGUGUGAUGGCAAUGAUGGCCACCCCUAAACAAACCUAAUCUCUUAAGCCUAUGAUAUUUUUAUGGGAUUAACCCCCUCCAUUUAUGUCAUCCCUGUCAUGCAAUGAUAUUUUUUAUUCAUAAUUUAUAUAUAUCAAAUCUAUUCUAUUCUAUUCAUCUCAUGAAUCUCCUUUCCCCACAUAUAUCACAAAGUUUGAUAUAUAUAUAUAUAUAAAGCCUUUUCAUUGCCUUCCAAUGGGAAAUAAACAACAAAUACAAUAGUUUUUUUUCACUUGUCACCCCACAAUCUUAAACCAUGAUUAGUCUAUAUUUGAUAAAUUUAGAAUUUGGACUUAAUGGUCCCCAUGGACCAACUAUGAAAUCCUAAUAAAAGGGUCAGAAACUUAUCUAAUGGUAUCAUAUAUCUUUAUUACCCACUGUUCACUGGUAGGUUUAUAUCAAUUUUUGCAGCAAAACUAAAUCACUUCAAAAAAGCUCACAUCCCAUGUGAGAGCAAUGCAAAAAAAGAUUAUAGUAUAUAGUGUAUGAUAGCUUGUGGAAGUGUGCUUGCAAUUACAAAUACAACCAGUGGACAAUGGGCAUUUGUAACUAUUGGGAAGCAAAAGCCUUGCCUAAAGGGUGAUGGGGUGUGUUAGAACUUCAAUUAUAGAGGGCCUAAUUUGACAGAAUAUGGUUUGUCCUUUAGGCAUUUAAAGGGUCUAUUAUUAUUAUUAUAUUGUUUAAAAACAGGGUCUUAUCUUCAUAACUCAAAAAUUGGAGGUUUGCCUAAUUUGAAGUGUUCCCUUUGUACAUUGUGUUUGACCACAAAUGAAACGAGCACACAAGUUUCAAGGGUUCAACCAUUUGGUGCUUGGAAAUUAGCUAUAUAAAUUAUUGGUGUCCUCCACAUGAGGGGAUUUGGGGUUUUUAAAACCCUUUUUAAAUUGUAGGACCAUACCCGGCCCCUUCAUAAUUAUUGCGUUGCAUGUUUGGUACAUAUGUGCCACUGAACCAUGUAACCAGCUGGCUUGGGUUUCUGGGCUAGGGGACCUUAAAGAAGUGAACCACUUAGCCAAGGUGUUAAGGGUUAGGGUUCAUGGUCCUGUGGACCCAUGGGCUUGUUGGGCUCAUUAUGACUACCUAUCUUCAUUGCUAAAGUGACACAUUCACUUCUUUGAAAAGGGAAAAAUAAAGUUGAACGAAUAUAAAUAUUAGAAAAGAAGAAGAAAAAAAAGGCAAACCUAAUCUCUUAAGCCUAUGCAAACUAAAAAGCCAUAUUCCCUUUCUAAACCUAAUCUCAAGCAAACUCAAUAGAGCAAAAAAAGAAAAGAAAAGGUAAAAUAAACAACCUUCCAAAGAAAAGAUGGCAAGGGAAAGUAACAUGUCAUUUGGUAUUCAUUCACAUGACUUUUAUGUGUUAAA
rnacentral:lncRNA from 1 species